GACGAACGCUGGCGGCGUGCUUAACACAUGCAAGUCGAACGGAAAGGCCCUGCUUUUGUGGGGUGCUCGAGUGGCGAACGGGUGAGUAACACGUGAGUAACCUGCCCUUGACUUUGGGAUAACUUCAGGAAACUGGGGCUAAUACCGGAUAGGAGCUCCUGCUGCAUGGUGGGGGUUGGAAAGUUUCGGCGGUUGGGGAUGGACUCGCGGCUUAUCAGCUUGUUGGUGGGGUAGUGGCUUACCAAGGCUGUGACGGGUAGCCGGCCUGAGAGGGUGACCGGCCACAUUGCGACUGAGAUACGGCCCAGACUCCUACGGGAGGCAGCAGUGGGGAAUAUUGCACAAUGGGCGGAAGCCUGAUGCAGCAACGCCGCGUGCGGGAUGACGGCCUUCGGGUUGUAAACCGCUUUCGCCUGUGACGAAGCGUGAGUGACGGUAAUGGGUAAAGAAGCACCGGCUAACUACGUG
rnacentral:rRNA from 1 species